GACGAACGCUGGCGGCGUGCCUAAUACAUUCAAGUAGACCCCAGUUCCGAACGGGUGAGUAACUCUUAUUUAACUUUCUCAUAGCGGGGGAUAACUAUUUGAAACGAUAGCUACUUCCGCAUACUGUGAGAUGGACCUGCGUUGUUUUAGCUAGUUGGUAAGGUAAAGUCUCACCAAGGCGACGAUACAUAGCCGACCUGAGAGGGUGAUCGUCCACACAGGGACUGAGACACGGCCCAGACUCCUACGGGAGGCAGCAGUAGGGAAUCUUCGGCAAUGGACGGAAGUCUGACCGAGCAACGCCGCGUGAGUGAAGAAGGUUUUCGGAUCGUAAAACUCUGUUGUUAGAGAAGCGGUAUCUAACCAGAAAGCCACGGCUAACUACGUGCCAGCAGCCGCGGUAAUUC
rnacentral:rRNA from 1 species